AACGAACGCUGGCGGCAUGCCUAACACAUGCAAGUCGAACGAUACUAUCGGGGAUCGUGGCGCACGGGUGCGUCCGGCGUGGGAAUCUGCCCUUAGGUUCGGCAUAACUCAGCGACAUUUGAGCUCACACCGGAUAAUGCGUUCGAACCAAAGAUUUCUGGCCUUUGGAUGGGCCCGCGUUGGAUUAGCUAGUUGGUGGGGUAAAGGCAGAACCCCGCGACGCGCCCUCCCUGGUCUUAGAGGAUGAUCAGCCACACGGGGACUGAGACACGGACCAGACUCCUACGGGAGGCUGCACGCGGGAAUAUUGGACAAUGGGCCACACAAGGAGCCAGCAUUGCCGCGUGAGUGAUGAAGGCCUGAGGGUUCGAAAGCUCUUUUACCCGGGAUGAGAAGGAAAGUACCUGGAGAAUAAGCUAAGGAGAACUCCGUGCCAGCAGCCGCCGUAAGAC
rnacentral:rRNA from 1 species